GAAGUUAGGUGUGUAUGGCUGUACAGCACACAGGAGAAAGCUCAUUCAUGUGCUCUGAUGCUAGAUGCUUCUAUAGCAACUUUCAAAUCCAAAGGGAAGAAUCUUACUGCUCAAGAGGACUGACAGGCUCUAGAUCACAGACACCAUACAUGGGGUUUGUCUUUUUUCCUAACAAAGAAUGCAUUGUUUUGACUGCCACAAUCUCAGAUCAAAAGAAGAAUGAAGCAUUUAUGAAGGACCUGCCAAGCAACAUGACUUUUAAGUCUUUGGUUUCGAAUCAAGAUUAUAAAUACUAAUCAGACACGUUUAAAGCGAAGGUGCAC
rnacentral:lncRNA from 1 species